GCCGGCCGGCCAAGUAAUAUACUUAGCAGCUUGGCCAUCAUCAAUAAUGGAGAUCUGAUCUAGAUCGAAAAAUAACAAGUAAGAAACACGUACUGGGAGAGCUGAACUGAGCUUCAUUCUUCAAUUACUCUCCCUUCAUCUCAAUAGCCACGAAAACAACUUCCACUACUUCUCGUAAUCAGGGUGCUUCUGCUGCGCGCAAUGCCUCAACAAGUGUUCAUGGUGGGUAACAACAAUGCAUUGGAAGAAAUUAAGGACAAGCUCACCAACUCGUCAAAAGAAAGAGAAGUCAUCUCCAUCACAGGAAUGGGAGGUAUUGGCAAGACGACUUUGACAGAAAAGGUUUAUGAAGAUAAAGACAUCAAGCGUCAUUUUGAUAUUCAAGCAUGGAUUACUGUGUCUCAAUCUUACUCCUUGGAUGAUUUGCUCCGAGUGCUCCUCCAAUCAAUUGACGCUUCUUCUCCAACAGAAGAACACUGUGCAGGAACCUUCGAACUCAAGGAUAAAGUUCGCAAAUUGUUGCUGGGCAAGAGGUAUCUAAUUGCAAUAGAUGAUGUAUGGAGUACACAAGUUUGGGAUGAUUUGAAGAUAUGCUUCCCAUCAGAAAAGAGAAAUGGGAGUCGAGUAUUGUUGACAACUCGACUCACAAAUGUGGCUACUCAUGCUAGUUCUGGUGGUCUCCCAUUUAGCAUGCCUACCCUAAGCAAAGAAGAAAGUUGGGAUCUAUUUUGCAAAAAAGUAUUUGCAAAAGAAUCUUGUCCUCCUUCUAUUGAAUUUGAGAAAAUUGGGAGAGAUAUUGUGAUGAAAUGCAAAGGAUUACCACUCUCAAUUAUGGUGAUUGCUGGGAUUCUAUCCAAGGCUGAAAUGAAGGUGGAGGAUUGGGAAAAUGUUGCCAGAGAUGUAGCAUUAUCAUCAACUUUAUAUGAGGAGCAAAAUUGUGAGAAAAUACUUUUGUUGAGUUACAAUCACUUGCCUGAAAAUUUGAAGACUUGCUUCUUAUAUUUAGGAGUAUUUCCAGAAGAUUAUAAGAUUCCAGCUCAAAGAUUAGUUACAUAUUGGAUCGCUCAGGGAUUUGUAGAAGAUGAGGCUUUGGUGGCUAACAAUAAAGAAGAAGUGGCAUGGCAAAAGUUGCAGGAUCUUAUUGAUAGAAAUUUAAUUUUGGUGGAAGAAAGAGGAUGGUGUGGAAGAAUAAGGACGUGUAAGAUUCAUGACCUUACACAUGAGAUGUGCUUGAGACUAGCUAAAGGUAAAAAUAUAUUGCAUGUUAUUGAUGACAAGUUUCAAAUUGGAUCGUCCUCCAAAGGAAUAAGUCAAGAAAAUAGCAAUUACAAGUUUCAAGUUGGACAAUCCUCCAAAGAAAAUGGCAAUUUUUGGGUAAGCCUACACCUACAAUCAGUUUCUAAUAUUAAUCGUUUAGGUUUUGAGCAUAGGACACUCCAGAAAUGUCAUUCCUUUCUUGCUAUGUUUCCAUCUAAAUAUAUAGGCAGUUGGCGUGAAGGAAGUCCGAUCCUUAGCAAUUACUUGUUCACAGCAACAUCAAUUCAAGUACUUGACCUCUUUCAAAUUUGUUUUCCCAAUUUUCCUUCAUCUCUUUGGAUAAAUAACUUAAGUCAGUUGAGGUAUCUAGCUUUGUACAUUCGUACAUUGCGUGGUUCCUUGUCGAUUUUAAGCAGCUUGAAAAAUCUACAAACUUUGAUUUUGCGUAGUGCAAUUUCUGUUGUAGUAUACUCAACCCUUCCAAAGACACCACAAUUAAUGGAGCUUUGCAUUCUGAAUCGAUCAAUUCAUUUUAAAAAUAAAGAAGAGAAUUUGAAAUUGGAGAAUCUGACAAGGCUUUUCUGGUUAAGUGACUUAUGUUGCAACAAUGGAGCGUUGAUGGUGAGGAUUCCGAAUAUAAAGAAAUUGGGGGUAAGAUAUGAAGAGCCCAAGGGCGGAUACAAUAUGCAUCCUAUUAACUUGCUCAAUAGUUUAAGCCAUUUGGAACAACUCGAAGACAUUGAGUUUGUUGGAUACCAAUUGUCAAAGUACAUUCCAAAACCAUAUGAUUUUCCACCGAAGCUCAAGGAGUUGAAAUUUACUGACACUUGGAUGAAAUGGGGGUGCACGAUGACCAUCCUUGGAAGGCUACCUAACCUCGAAGUUCUCCAACUAAAACGGUAUGCCUUUGAUAAUUCAGAGACCGAGUGGGAACAAGUUGAAGAGGGGUUUCCAAAAUUGAAAGUGUUAGUCUUCCAAGAUCAAAUGCUUUGUAGAUGGAAAGACAGCGAUUUCACUUUCCCAAGCCUUGAGUGCCUGGUGCUAAAGAAUUCCCCUCUCUUGGAAUCACUCCCUUACGAGAGCCUUUCUGGAUGUCCAUCCCUUAAGCUAAUUCACUUGGAAUGGCUUUGUAGUGAUGGUGUUUUAGAGUCUGCAAAGAAAAUUCAAAAUGAUGGAGAUGGCCAGCUCGAGGUCCGCGAAGAAAAUAUUCAUAUGAUGAGUUAGUUUCUUGAUAUGUGAGUGCAACCGGAUACCACUAGACCACAAGGUCUCGGCAGAUUGAAGAGAGUGGAAACAACAAGCUGAGCAUCACAUCACAUGUUCUUCUACCACUUUGAAGGUAGCUUUGAUGACUCACCAUCAAAUCAACCGAAGCACUCACCCAUACAUACCUCUUAGCUUCGAUCCCCAGCCACCUACUCUCCCAAAACAAAUCCUAAGCUCUGUAAAUUUUGUUGUGAUUUAAGGUUAGAAAAUUUACAUCUUUGUUUUGGUUUUGCAUUGCGUGUUACUUUUCCUUUUCUCUUAGCAAAUUGUGAUUUAAUUUUGAGCUGAGAAAUUCUUCCCUUGAAAGGUGGGAGUGCUUCGGGAUAAGUAAAGGGACCGUCUUAGUUUUAUUUUGAUGAUUCAUGAUUGUUGCUUUUAUGCAAGUUUUAUGUGGUGAUUUUGUAUGGAUUGUUGAGUAUUGAAUCACAAAUGGUAUUAUUAUUAUUUGAUAAAAUUUAA